UCGCCUGUUUAUCAAAAACAUGUCUUAGUGAAAAUAAUUUUAAGUCUGAUCUGCUCCAUGAUUAAUUUUAAAUAGCUGCAGAAUUUUAACUGUACAAAGGUAGCAAAAUCAAUAGUUUUUUAAUUAAAAGCUGGAAUGAAAGAUUUGAUAAGGUAAAAGUUGUCUCAAAUUUAAUAAUAUUAAAAUUUUUUGUUUAGUAAAAAUACUAAAAUGAAAUUAAAAGACGAGAAGACCCUAUAGAUUUUUAUAUUUUAGGUUAAAUUAUAUUGAAAGGUUAAAUUAAAAUUUAACUAAAAAAUAUUAGGUUGGGGAAAUUAUUAAAUUUAAAGAAUUUUAAUUAAAUUAAAACAUUAAUUUAUGAUAAGUUGAUCUUAAUAUUUAAAUUAUGAGAAUAAAAUACCUUAGGGAUAACAGCGUAAUUUUUUUGGAGAGUUCUUAUUGAUAAAAAAGAUUGCGACCUCGAUGUUGAAUUAAGAUAAAAUUUUAAUGAAGAAGUUAAAAAUUUUUGGUCUGUUCGACCAUUAAAAUCUUACGUGA
rnacentral:rRNA from 1 species